CCGCCGGUAGCGCAGUGGUUAUCGCGCCAGACCAGUAAUCUGGAGGUCGUGGGUUCGGAUCCCACCUGGCGGG
rnacentral:tRNA from 1 species